AUUGCCGGCCCAAAAGACCGAGGAAGCCGGUAGGGAUUCGGCCUUGGAAUUCAUCCGCUCCUCACGCGGCGGAAGUGGUCAUUGUGAUGAGCACACGUUUGUGACGUCACCGGGUUGGCACCAAGCACACGUCCCUAGGGAUCCCAAACCCGUAUUCAAAGAGAUCCUGGGCCUCGGGGAGCCAGUACAGGGGAUUUAUCGAAGAUUGCUGGGCUCUAGGUCCCUGAACGGAACUGGUUCUUUAAACAUCCAGAGUCGCAGGGCCCGUUUCCCUUUUCGCCUGUACAUAUCAAAAGCUGAUUGACACUGCCCCCAACCCCAGCGCCCUCUGCAGCCAGAGCCCCGGGUUCAAGUCCACCUCUGACACGUAAGACCUGUUCGACCUUCCCCUGAGCUGAGCCCCCCGCCGUUGCCCUCCCUCCCGGACAACAAUCUAGCGCUCCCAGCUUCCUCGUUCCUCCCAGCG